CCUGGCGGCUGUAGCGCGGUGGUCCCACCUGACCCCAUGCCGAACUCAGAAGUGAAACGCCGUAGCGCCGAUGGUAGUGUGGGGUCUACCCAUGUGAGAGUAGGGAACUGCCAGGC
rnacentral:rRNA from 1 species